GCCGGAAUUAAUUUCUCAUUUACUAAUGUUAUCAUUGCAGCAGUGUCCACAAUCAUGCUCACAUUCUGGUCAUGUAUAGUACCUCGUUCUGCUAAGCUCUUUCAAAUGGUUCGUCUGAUGACAAUAUCGGACGAGGCCGUGGGCCUCUGUUCGAUUUUGUGAUGAGGUGAUGUUUCAUGGCCAAUGGACUUUGGAAUCGUGCGUUGGCCUACUGGCCCGACCCUUUGCUGUUUAAGACUCCAUUGUUGGAGUAGCACUUUGAUUUGUUCCGUAUCCUUGUGAAGGUGAUCGUUGUCUGAAAUAACCGGGAUUUCUGGAGUUUGCCCGUGGAGAUGCUAACCGUUGUCUUUGGGGACUAUAUGAUCUCUACCUUAGUGGGUGUGUUGCUGAUCGAUAGGCAUUAAGCUUGGGUGUAAUCUAUCAGGCGAUCUACCGCGAAUGUAUUGCUCAGGAGAUCCUCCAUGUGUAUAUUGAUCAGAUGAUCUUCCAUGAUUAUUUGAUCAGAAGAUCCGAGGUUAUACUGAUCGGUCAAUCCACGGCUAUGCUGAUUAGUUGAAAGCAUAAUAUCAGCUAGUUUUGUGACAAUUUGUGCGAGGUUAUGCCCCUCAUUAUCCAAAGGUCUGCUCAUAUUUCCUUUAUCGGUCGGUGAUACUGCGCCAUCAGCAAAGUAGAUUUGUCGAUGGUUAUAAUUGGCACUUUUUGAUUCAUAUAUCGCCAUCUGGUUUGCUAUUGAGGUUUUUAGUCGAUUCAACGCCUCGUUGAAAUUUUCUGGGUUCCUCUUUAUUACAUGCCUUGAAGAAUCUUUG
rnacentral:lncRNA from 1 species